rnacentral:rRNA from 1 species
UAGCUGUGUCCUUCGGGACAAGGAGACAGGUGGUGGCAUGGUUGUCGUCAGCUCGUGUCGUGAGAUGUGGUUAGUCCGCAACGAGCGCAACCCCUGUGGUUAGUUGCCAGCAAGUAGCGUUGGGCACUCUAGCCAGACUGCCGGUGAUAAAUCGGAGGAAGGUGGGGACGACGUCAAAUCAUCAUGCCCUUUAUGUCCUGGGCUACACACGUACUACAAUGGCCGUUACAACGGGAAGCGAAGGAGCAAUCCGGAGCAAAUCCCUUAAAGGCGGUCCUAGUUCAGGUUGUGGGCUGAAACUCGCCCACAUGAAGGCGGAAUUGCUAGUAAUUGCAGAUCAGCAUGCUGCAGUGAAUACGUUCCCGGGCCUU